rnacentral:lncRNA from 1 species
AAAGAAGAGUGUCCUAUAAGCCAAUUGUAAGUGUAUUGUGAUGGAACUUUUCUUUGUAAUUUUUUAACUCAUGUAAUAACAUUUAUUAUUUGAGGCAUUGAUUCACCAUUUUAGAUGUAUCUUAUUAUGUUUAAGAUUAUGAUGAACUCUGAAGAUUAGGAUAAUGAUUUCAGGAGACAUGAAUGGGUCAUGCUAGUGAGAUCUAAAAUCUUAAAAUCUUAAUUUUAAAUAUUCCUGAUCAUAG